rnacentral:rRNA from 1 species
UCGGGAAUAUUGCGCAAUGGAGGAAACUCUGACGCAGUGACGCCGCGUAUAGGAAGAAGGUUUUCGGAUUGUAAACUAUUGUCGUUAGGGAAGAAAAAGACAGUACCUAAGGAGGAAGCUCCGGCUAACUACGUGCCAGCAGCCGCGGUAAUACGUAGGGAGCAAGCGUUAUCCGGAUUUAUUGGGUGUAAAGGGUGCGUAGACGGGCGAUCAAGUUAGUUGUGAAAUCCCUCGGCUCAACUGAGGAACUGCAACUAAAACUGGUUGUCUUGAGUGCAGGAGAGGUAAGUGGAAUUCCUAGUGUAGCGGUGAAAUGCGUAGAUAUUAGGAGGAACACCAGUGGCGAAGGCGACUUACUGGACUGUAACUGACGUUGAGGCACGAAAGUGUGGGGAGCAGCAGGAUUAGAUACC